rnacentral:rRNA from 1 species
AUUGAACGCUGGCGGCAUGCUUUACACAUGCAAGUCGAACGGCAGCGCGGGCUUCGGCCUGGCGGCGAGUGGCGAACGGGUGAGUAAUACAUCGGAACGUGCCCAGUAGUGGGGGAUAGCUCGGCGAAAGCCGGAUUAAUACCGCAUACGACCUGUGGGUGAAAGCGGGGGAACUUCGGACCUCGCGCUAUUUGAGCGGCCGAUGGCAGAUUAGCUAGUUGGUGGGGUAAAGGCCUACCAAGGCGACGAUCUGUAGCUGGUCUGAGAGGACGACCAGCCACACUGGGACUGAGACACGGCCCAGACUCCUACGGGAGGCAGCAGUGGGGAAUUUUGGACAAUGGGCGAAAGCCUGAUCCAGCAAUGCCGCGUGUGUGAUGAAGGCCUUCGGGUUGUAAAGCACUUUUGGCGGGAACGAAAAGGACUGUGCCAAUACCACGGUUCGAUGACGGUACCCGCAGAAUAAGCACCGGCUAACUACGUG